UUAUGACCAUAGCACGUUGAAACGCUAGUUCUCGUACGAUCACCAAUGUUAAGCAACGUCGAGCCUGAUCAGUACCUCGAUGGGUCACCUCUUGGGAAUAUUAAG